CAAGAGACGCGAUGACGAGUAUGUGCGUGACUCUGGAGGGAAAGGGUCUACAUCUGUCUCUGCUUGUGCCUCGGAUGGGUUUUACAGUAGACGUACCACUGACCCCGCCUCUUCACCAGGUGAGACGUGGUCUUGUAACACAGUGGUUAAGAAUGUGACUUUGGAGCCAGCCUGCUAGGGGCUGAAUUCUGACUCAGCCAUUUACUAACUGUGUGACCUUAGGUGGAGUCUCACUCUGUAGCCCAAGCUGGAGUGGCGUGAUCUCGACUCACUGCAACCUCCGCCUCCUGGGAUCAAGUGAUUCUCGUGCCUCAGCCUCCUGAGUAGCCGGGACUACAGUUGUCCCUUGGUGUGGGAUUGCUUCCAGUACCUCUGUGUGUAACAAAAGCUGCACCAUUCAAGUCCCACAGUUGCCCUGCGAAACCUCUGUAUAUGAAAAGUUGGCCCUCCAUGUACAUGGGUUUCCCAUCCUGUCACAGAAUUUUCCACACUCCUUGACAGAGGUGCUUAACCCUUAUCCAUCAGCAUUCUCAGACAGCACCUCCGGUUAGGGACAGUAUCUGACCGUCCGACAUCCCUGCAGCCCCCAUGUGUCACACAGACUCAGCCUCAGGUAGAUGGUUUCCGUAGAUGGUGGCUUUCUUUGGACCCUUGACAUCAACCAGUUACUAUUUGGGGACCAGAUGUGCAGAGGUAAUGAAUACCAGGGAAUCAGGAAACCACUGGAUCAGUUCUUUGAGCCACAGAACAACACUCAUCCCAGCAGCUGGGAAGCUAUCUGCAAAAGUCCAUCUGCAGAAAGGGCUUCCUGGUCUUGCGUGUGGCUGGGCCAUUUCUCUGGAUGCAGGUUUUUCAUUAUACAGUCUUCUCAAAGAACCACCUGCUCUCAACACCUUCUCGGUGACUCCAUUUCCCCUCCUCU
rnacentral:lncRNA from 1 species